GGUGGGCUGAGAAACGUCUCCUGGAGUUCAGUGAGGAGAAGCACAAAGCCCUGCACCAGGACGUGCUGGGGACCCCAGCUGGGCAGGAACGGCCCUGGGGGUCCUGGUGGGCACCCGGUGGAGCGGAAGGCAGCCACGUGCCCUUGGCGCUCAGAGGCCUCGUGGUCUUCUGGGCUGCCCGGGGCAGAGCAGGGCCAGCAGGCCGAGGGAGGUGAUCCUUCCCCUCUGCUCAGCGCUGCUGAGGCCGCCCCUGCAGUGCUGGGCCCAGCGCUGGGCCCCCCAGCGCCACGGGGACCCGCAGCUGCCCGACCCCAGCAGCCACCUGGGUGCUGCAGGGGGACGUCCCUGCGGGCAUUUCCCCGGCAGGAGCAGGAGGACGGGAGCUGUAGGAGGGGGAGGAGCUGGCAGGCACAGCGAGGAAGGCUGCGCUCACCUCAGGCGUUGCUUCUGGCUCAGGAUCUUUGCUUGGCAGCUGGAGAGGCUCACGGUGCCCUGGGAAGUGUCCUGUCAGGACAUCCGGAGAAGUGCUCAGCACCGCCGAUGAACGUGGCUGAUAAGAGCCCCAGGAUGUUCCAGAAGGGGUCUGUGACCUGCCACGAGCUCCAAAGGUCCCUGGCAGCACCCCAUGGCGGAUCAGGCCCUCUCCACCACGGCAUGGGACGCUGGGCUCUGCUCUGCUCCAAAACCCACCCUGGGCACGGCCUCCUCCACACACACCCCAGGCUGUCGCCGCCUGGGAAUGGAGAACCCAAACCAGUCACGGUCACGGAUGGUCCUUGUCCUCACAGAGCCAGCACAGGCUGGAGGAGAAGGGUCUGGUCUCAGGCCUCUGUGCACACAGAGAGGCAAUGCAGGGCUCGGUGCGGCUCUGCAAGGGCUCGGGGCACAGUCGCUGUUGCCAGCUGCCACGAGGAAAAAUUCUGCCACCACUCACAGUUUUACCUUGGCUCUCUGCUUGGGGUUCCCUGCUUCACAACAGGAACUGAUCCCAAAAUCAGUGAGCCGAGCAUACAGCCAGUAGCAGGAACACAGGGAUAA
rnacentral:lncRNA from 1 species